GAGAGACAGAUGCUACGAGAAUAUCUCCCAUUAACUGUCCCCCGUUUUUUUUUUUUUUCUCUUUUUCUGUUUUUGCGUGUGUGUGUGCCCACGUCUAUGAACUGACCAUUAGGAUAACCACAAAGCAUAGUUCCCCCGGUGCUAUGAAGGCGUGGACUCCCAUUUGAAUCGUGAAAAGUGAAAAAUAAUGUGGCCUUUGACUCGCGACUGGAAGAGGCGCUGAGUUGACGUGAGUGGGCAGAGGAAGAAGAAGUAGAAGAAGAGGAAGAGGAAGAAGAGGAAGAGGAGGAGAGGGAAGGAAGAUCUGAGCUGCGGAUAAGCCCUGAGUGACUGUUGCUGCCCCGCGGACCUGCUGCUGCUGCUGCUGCUGCUGCUGCUGCUGCCGUGCCAGCGUGCGGUGCCUGUGGAGUGUGGUGCAUAGUGGAGGCGCAGAGUGAGGGAGGGGCGCGGCGCUGCUCUCCCGGGAAGAAAUCUGAUGAUGGAGAUGCUGUGCAGCCAGCCAGCCCACCUUCCACGUGCUCAACCACCUGGCCCGCCCCCUGCCCCUGCCGCCCUAAGCCACCCACGGCGGAGUAAUGCAUACUUUCUCUCUCUCUCUCUCUCUCUCUCUCUCUCUCUCUCUCUCUCUCUCUCUCUCUCUCUCUCUCUCACACACACACACACACACACACACACACACACACACACACACACACACACACACACACACACACACACACAC